rnacentral:rRNA from 1 species
GACGAACGCUGGCGGCGUGCUUAACACAUGCAAGUCGAACGGAAAGGCCCUGCUUUUGUGGGGUGCUCGAGUGGCGAACGGGUGAGUAACACGUGAGUAACCUGCCCUUGACUUUGGGAUAACUUCAGGAAACUGGGGCUAAUACCGGAUAGGAGCUCCUGCUGCAUGGUGGGGGUUGGAAAGUUUCGGCGGUUGGGGAUGGACUCGCGGCUUAUCAGCUUGUUGGUGGGGUAGUGGCUUACCAAGGCUUUGACGGGUAGCCGGCCUGAGAGGGUGACCGGCCACAUUGGGACUGAGAUACGGCCCAGACUCCUACGGGAGGCAGCGGUGGGGAAUAUUGCACGAUGGGCGGAAGCCUGAUGCAGCAACGCCGCGUGCGGGAUGACGGCCUUCGGGUUGUAAACCGCUUUCGCCUGUGACGAAGCGUGAGUGACGGUAAUGGGUAAAGAAGCACCGGCUAACUACGUG